UACGUAGGGCGCAAGCGUUGUCCGGAAUUAUUGGGCGUAAAGAGCUCGUAGGCGGCUUGUCACGUCGGGUGUGAAAGCCCGGGGCUUAACCCCGGGUCUGCAUUCGAUACGGGCAGGCUAGAGUUCGGUAGGGGAGACUGGAAUUCCUGGUGUAGCGGUGAAAUGCGCAGAUAUCAGGAGGAACACCGAUGGCGAAGGCAGGUCUCUGGGCCGAUACUGACGCUGAGGAGCGAAAGCGUGGGGAGCGAACAGG
rnacentral:rRNA from 1 species